rnacentral:rRNA from 3 species
UGCUGGAGGUAUCAGAAGUGCGAAUGCUGACAUAAGUAACGAUAAAGCGGGUGAAAAGCCCGCUCGCCGGAAGACCAAGGGUUCCUGUCCAACGUUAAUCGGGGCAGGGUGAGUCGACCCCUAAGGCGAGGCCGAAAGGCGUAGUCGAUGGGAAACGGGUUAAUAUUCCCGUACUUGGUGUUACUGCGAAGGGGGGACGGAGAAGGCUAUGUUGGCCGGGCGACGGUUGUCCCGGUUUAAGCGUGUAGGCUGGUUUUCCAGGCAAAUCCGGAAAAUCAAGGCUGAGGCGUGACGACGAGGCACUACGGUGCUGAAGCAACAAAUGCCCUGCUUCCAGGAAAAGCCUCUAAGCAUCAGGUAACAUCAAAUCGUACCCCAAACCGACACAGGUGGUCAGGUAGAGAAUACCAAGGCGCUUGAGAGAACUCGGGUGAAGGAACUAGGCAAAAUGGUGCCGUAACUUCGGGAGAAGGCACGCUGACACGUAGGUGAAGUGAUUUACUCAUGGAGCUGAAGUCAGUCGAAGAUACCAGCUGGCUGCAACUGUUUAUUAAAAACACAGCACUGUGCAAACACGAAAGUGGACGUAUACGGUGUGACGCCUGCCCGGUGCCGGAAGGUUAAUUGAUGGGGUCAGCGCAAGCGAAGCUCCUGAUCGAAGCCCCGGUAAACGGCGGCCGUAACUAUAACGGUCCUAAGGUAGCGAAAUUCCUUGUCGGGUAAGUUCCGACCUGCACGAAUGGCGUAAUGAUGGCCAGGCUGUCUCCACCCGAGACUCAGUGAAAUUGAACUCGCUGUGAAGAUGCAGUGUACCCGCGGCAAGACGGAAAGACCCCGUGAACCUUUACUAUAGCUUGACACUGAACAUUGAGCCUUGAUGUGUAGGAUAGGUGGGAGGCUUUGAAGCGUGGACGCCAGUCUGCGUGGAGCCGACCUUGAAAUACCACCCUUUAAUGUUUGAUGUUCUAACGUGGACCCGUAAUCCGGGUUGCGGACAGUGUCUGGUGGGUAGUUUGACUGGGGCGGUCUCCUCCUAAAGAGUAACGGAGGAGCACGAAGGUUGGCUAAUCCUGGUCGGACAUCAGGAGGUUAGUGCAAUGGCAUAAGCCAGCUUGACUGCGAGCGUGACGGCGCGAGCAGGUGCGAAAGCAGGUCAUAGUGAUCCGGUGGUUCUGAAUGGAAGGGCCAUCGCUCAACGGAUAAAAGGUACUCCGGGGAUAACAGGCUGAUACCGCCCAAGAGUUCAUAUCGACGGCGGUGUUUGGCACCUCGAUGUCGGCUCAUCACAUCCUGGGGCUGAAGUAGGUCCCAAGGGUAUGGCUGUUCGCCAUUUAAAGUGGUACGCGAGCUGGGUUUAGAACGUCGUGAGACAGUUCGGUCCCUAUCUGCCGUGGGCGCUGGAGAACUGAGGGGGGCUGCUCCUAGUACGAGAGGACCGGAGUGGACGCAUCACUGGUGUUCGGGUUGUCAUGCCAAUGGCACUGCCCGGUAGCUAAAUGCGGAAGAGAUAAGUGCUGAAAGCAUCUAAGCACGAAACUUGCCCCGAGAUGAGUUCUCCCUGAGACUU